ensembl:lncRNA
AUACCACAGCACACCUUCAGAGGUCUUGUGGAGUCCAUGUCUCGACGGGUCAGAGCUGUUUUGGCAGCACAAGAAGGACCUCCACAAUAUGAGACAGGAACUAUGACACAGUCACAGCAGAGUCCCGUCGUGAAUCUCCACCAGCACAUCCAUCUCGGGUCUGAAGCCAAGAACUAACGUCAUGGUGUGGACAGGAGAUGCAUCGAGACAGGAAGUCGACAGUAACUCAAAUAAUCACUCUUUACAACCGUGGUGAGCAGAAAAGCAUCUCCGCAUGCACAAAACAUCAAACCUAGGUGGAUGGGCUCCAACAACAGGCUACAAUCACAUCAUGGUCCACUCCUUUCAGCCAAGAACAAGAAUCUGAGGCUGUCAUGGGCACAGGCUCACCCAAACUGCACAGUUGGAGACUAAUCUAACUUGCUAGCUAUUUGCACAAGGUAAAGGGCUGCAUUUAAGGAGUUACGAUAUCGUACUUUAUUCUACUUUGACAGUCCAUUAUUAUGUUUGAUUGAAUGAGAUUCGAAUCUCUGCUAUCGUAGCCUUUUAACCUCGUCGCUGAAAAAUAAAGUCACUAUGUGGAAAGUUUCAUACAGGCAGAGUUUAAUAAUAAUAAUAAUAAUAAUAAUAAAAAACUGCAGUAAACUUAUAAUGCUGAAUAUUUUUUUUAAAAAAA